GAAGCUGACCAGACAGUCGCCGCUUCGUCGUCGUCCUUUCGGGGAGACGGGCGGAGGGGAGGAAAGUCCGGGCUCCAUAGGGCAGGGUGCCAGGUAACGCCUGGGGGGGGAAACCCACGACCAGUGCAACAGAGAGCAAACCGCCGAUGGCCCACGCAAGUGGGAUCAGGUAAGGGUGAAAGGGUGCGGUAAGAGCGCACCGCGCGGCUGGUAACAGUCCGUGGCACGGUAAACUCCACCCGGAGCAAGGCCAAAUAGGGGUUCAUAAGGUACGGCCCGUACUGAACCCGGGUAGGCUGCUUGAGCCAGUGAGCGAUUGCUGGCCUAGAUGAAUGACUGUCCACGACAGAACCCGGCUUAUCGGUCAGU
rnacentral:RNase_P_RNA from 1 species